rnacentral:rRNA from 1 species
GGGUUGUGAGGUUAAGCGACUAAGCGUACACGGUGGAUGCCUAGGCAAUCAGAGGCGAUGAAGGACGUGCUAAUCUGCGAUAAGCGUCGGUAAGGUGAUAUGAACCGUGAUAACCGACGAUUUCCGAAUGGGGAAACCCAGUGCAACUCGUUGCACUAUCGUUUGAUGAAUACAUAGUCAAACGAAGCGAACCGGGGGAACUGAAACAUCUCAGUACCCCGAGGAAAAGAAAUCAACCGAGAUUCCCCUAGUAGCGGCGAGCGAACGGGGAGCAGCCCAGAGUCUUAAUCAACAUUAGCAUCAGGAGAACGGUCUGGAAAGGCCGGCAGUAAAGGGUGAUAGCCCCGUAUCCGAAGGUGUUAGUGUUGUGAACUCGACGAGUAGGGCGGGACACGUGUUAUCCUGUCUGAAUAUGGGGGGACCAUCCUCCAAGGCUAAAUACUCCUGAUUGACCGAUAGUGAACCAGUACCGUGAGGGAAAGGCGAAAAGAACCCCGGCGAGGGGAGUGAAAUAGAACCUGAAACCGUGUACGUACAAGCAGUGGGAGCCCCACCACCAAAGCAUUUUCUGGUGUUGAGGACAAUUUUGAAGUGACAUUCAACACGCGUUGGCGGAGCGUUUUUUGCGACGCCCAACACAUAAAACAAGCAGUGAAUGUGCUUUGGGGUGGGGUGACUGCGUACCUUUUGUAUAAUGGGUCAGCGACUUAUAUUCUGUAGCAAGGUUAACCGUAUAGGGGAGCCGUAGGGAAACCGAGUCUUAACUGGGCGAAUAAGUUGCAGGGUAUAGACCCGAAACCCGGUGAUCUAGCCAUGGGCAGGUUGAAGGUUGGGUAACACUAACUGGAGGACCGAACCGACUAAUGUUGAAAAAUUAGCGGAUGACUUGUGGCUGGGGGUGAAAGGCCAAUCAAACCGGGAGAUAGCUGGUUCUCCCCGAAAGCUAUUUAGGUAGCGCCUCGUGAACUCAUCUUCGGGGUAGAGCACUGUUUCGACUAGGGGGUCAUCCCGACUUACCAACUCGAUGCAAACUACGAAUACCGAAGAAUGUUAUCACGGGAGACACACGGCGGGUGCUAACGUUCGUCGUGAAGAGGGAAACAACCCAGACCGCCAGCUAAGGUCCCAAAGUCAUAGUUAAGUGGGAAACGAAGUGGGAAGGCUCAGACAGCCAGGAUGUUGGCUUAGAAGCAGCCAUCAUUUAAAGAAAGCGUAAUAGCUCACUGGUCGAGUCGGCCUGCGCGGAAGAUGUAACGGGGCUAAACUAUGCACCGAAGCUGCGGCAGCGAACGUAUCACUUAAACUGAUUAAGUGAUAUUCAAUAGUAUCAGAACGAUUGACGGAGCAACGCGACGUCAAUGCGUCCAACAAAGUCGAGGCGGAAACGUCAGACAGUCAGUUUAAGGAUACGUUCGUUGGGUAGGGGAGCGUUCUGUAAGCCUGUGAAGGUGUACUGCGAGGUAUGCUGGAGGUAUCAGAAGUGCGAAUGCUGACAUAAGUAACGAUAAUGCGGGUGAAAAACCCGCACGCCGGAAGACCAAGGGUUCCUGUCCAACGUUAAUCGGGGCAGGGUGAGUCGACCCCUAAGGCGAGGCAGAAAUGCGUAGUCGAUGGGAAACGGGUUAAUAUUCCCGUACUGGUGAUAAUUGCGAUGGGGGACGGAGAAGGCUAGGCUAUCCGGGCGACGGUUGUCCCGGUUUAAGGAUGUAGGCAGGUGAAUUAGGCAAAUCCGGUUCAUUAUAUGCUGAGGUCCGACGACGAGUCACUACGGUGAUGAAGUAGCUCAUGCCCCGCUUCCAGGAAAAGCCUCUAAGCUCUAGAUUAUCAUUAAUCGUACCCCAAACCGACACAGGUGGUCAGGUAGAGAAUACUCAGGCGCUUGAGAGAACUCGGGUGAAGGAACUAGGCAAAAUGGUGCCGUAACUUCGGGAGAAGGCACGCUGGCGCUAGGUGAAGUCCCUCGCGGAUGGAGCUGAAGCCAGUCGCAGAUACCAGCUGGCUGCAACUGUUUAUUAAAAACACAGCACUGUGCAAACACGAAAGUGGACGUAUACGGUGUGACGCCUGCCCGGUGCUGGAAGGUUAAUUGAUGGGGUUAUCCGUAAGGAGAAGCUCUUGAUCGAAGCCCCAGUAAACGGCGGCCGUAACUAUAACGGUCCUAAGGUAGCGAAAUUCCUUGUCGGGUAAGUUCCGACCUGCACGAAUGGCGUAAUGAUGGCCAGGCUGUCUCCACCCGAGACUCAGUGAAAUUGAACUCGCUGUGAAGAUGCAGUGUACCCGCGGCAAGACGGAAAGACCCCGUGAACCUUUACUAUAGCUUGACACUGAACAUUGAGCCUUGAUGUGUAGGAUAGGUGGGAGGCUUUGAAGUGUGGACGCCAGUCUGCAUGGAGCCAACCUUGAAAUACCACCCUUUAAUGUUUGAUGUUCUAACGUAGCCCCGUUAUCCGGGGUGCGGACAGUGUCUGGUGGGUAGUUUGACUGGGGCGGUCUCCUCCCAAAGAGUAACGGAGGAGCACGAAGGUUGGCUAAGCAUGGUCGGACAUCAUGCGGUUAGUGCAAAGGCAUAAGCCAGCUUGACUGCGAGAGUGACGGCUCGAGCAGGUACGAAAGUAGGUCUUAGUGAUCCGGUGGUUCUGAAUGGAAGGGCCAUCGCUCAACGGAUAAAAGGUACUCCGGGGAUAACAGGCUGAUACCGCCCAAGAGUUCAUAUCGACGGCGGUGUUUGGCACCUCGAUGUCGGCUCAUCACAUCCUGGGGCUGAAGUAGGUCCCAAGGGUACGGCUGUUCGCCGUUUAAAGUGGUACGCGAGCUGGGUUUAGAACGUCGUGAGACAGUUCGGUCCCUAUCUGCCGUGGGCGUUGGAAGAUUGAAAGGGGCUGCUCCUAGUACGAGAGGACCGGAGUGGACGCACCACUGGUGUUCGGGUUGUCAUGCCAAUGGCAUUGCCCGGUAGCUAAGUGCGGAAGAGAUAACCGCUGAAAGCAUCUAAGCGGGAAACUUGCCUUGAGAUGAGUCUUCCCUGACUCUUUAAGGGUCCUAAAGGAACGUUUAAGACUAAGACGUUGAUAGGUUGGGUGUGUAAGCGUAGCGAUACGUUGAGCUAACCAAUACUAAUGAACCGUGAGGCUUAACCUGACAACACCGAAGGUGUUUUAG